GAUCAUGGCUCAGGAUGAACGCUAGCUACAGGCUUAACACAUGCAAGUCGAGGGGCAGCAUAUUUUUAGCUUGCUAAGAAUGAUGGCGACCGGCGCACGGGUGAGUAACGCGUAUCCAACCUUCCCAUGGCUCAGGGAUAACCUUGCGAAAGUAAGCCUAAUACCUGAUAUCCUCUUUAGCAGGCAUCUAAAGAAGAGGAAAGAUUUAUCGGCGAUGGAUGGGGAUGCGUCCGAUUAGCUUGCCGGUGGGGUAAAGGCCCACCGGGGCGACGAUCGGUAGGGGUUCUGAGAGGAAGGUCCCCCACAUUGGAACUGAGACACGGUCCAAACUCCUACGGGAGGCAGCAGUGAGGAAUAUUGGUCAAUGGGCGCAAGCCUGAACCAGCCAAGUAGCGUGAGGGAAGACUGCCCUAUGGGUUGUAAACCUCUUUUGAUUGGGAACAAAGAGCGCCACGUGUGGUGCGUUGCGUGUACCUUUCGAAUAAGCAUCGGCUAAUUCCGUG
rnacentral:rRNA from 1 species